GAAACGAGACAAAAUGCUGCCUGAGCCUCGGCUCCAGAGGGAGUCAUAACCAAGGGCCCCACCAGCCGGGCCAUCCUUUCAGCCUCUGAGCCAAGCCAACUCCACCACCCAGAGAUCUCAGCUCCUCAAAGACCCAGCCUCAGUGCCCAUCUCACUCACACACACACACACACGCACACGCACAGACGCACACGUGCAGGGAUCUAACUCUGCCCAGCCCAGGCCCCCCUCAGAUGGAAGGAGGUGUAUGAGAAGCAGGAAGGGAGAGACAGCCAGACGGAGAGGGGAGCAGCAGAUGGUAACGAGUGGGGGGAGCAUCCUUGGGGGGAAGGGAGCUUCUCACCGGAUGUAGAUGUAGCGCCACGGGGUGUUACAUGCCUUAUGUGCUACACCCGGAUACCCCAGGGCUCAUGUCCACUGGGUCCUGCUCCCCCACUUCCUGCUCCCCCACUUCCUGCCCCCAUCCCUGUCCCUUUCUCCCCAUAUACCCCCAGAUAUCUGUACGCCCUUCCCCCAGAUUUGGCCCUCACCUUCACACACAUUUGCUUUAAACCUGAGCCCUGGGAAUCCCGGGUUCCCCCAGCUGCAGGCUCCUCCUUCCCUCUCAGCCACCCGCCAGCCAAUCCGCCCCUUCCUCCAGGGACCGUGUUGCCUAGCAACGGUAUCUAAGACCAGCCAAGACCCAUGGAGACCCACCUCCUGGAGGCCCUGUCGUCAGGACAACAGGGGGGUGUGGCUAAGGGUCCCGAACUAACGCAGCUGAGAUCUACUGGUCCCUCCCUCCUGCCCUAGACCCACCCCCAUUCCCCACUCCCCCUGUUGGCCAGGCCGAGCUCAGGCUGAAGAGCCUCUACCCCACAAGUCGCAAGCUUUGGCUCUCCAGCACCUGGCAGGCCCGCGGCAGGAACUGAAGUCAGGCCCUUCAACUAGAAGAAAAUUCCUGAAUCUGAUGAAGAAACGUCAGGGCGCAGCAAAGAAAAUGAACAUGGGAAGAGGGACAUUUCAUCGUUUAUUUUAGAGACAAUCAAGGAACCCCAGAUGCACAGAAUGACCUGAAACCAAGGCUUGCACCCCCAAAAUAGAGGGGUUGUAAGUUAAAGUGAAUAAUAAGAGGGGCGACCCACAGAGCUUGUCCGCAAGAAGUUGCAACCCAGAGACCCCGCACCAAGCAGAAGGAACAGCGACAGCACUUGAAGCUUGGACCCUGAGAUUUGGGGGUCCGGGAAGAGGGGAGCGGGGCCGGAGCCCGUACCGC